CAGUGGCGUGACGGUGGUGUGGUGUUUUUUAUCCAAAAUUGUAAAAAAAGUUAUUUUGUGUAUUUUAAUUUAAAUUUUAAUUUGUAAUAUACGUGGUAAUAUCGAUAAUAUACAAUGUAGGGGCGUUUGCACCAAGUUUUUUAAGCAAAACUUAACAUUAUGUUUAGCUUAUUUUCUUGAACUAUGCUUUAAUCUAACUUGAAUUUAUAUUUAAAUUAAGCGGUCAAAUUUCCAGGCUAGUGGCCACUUAACCUGACUAAGGCACAAAAAAUUUGUUUUACGAGGAAGUAUAAUUAUUUUUAUUAUAUUCCUUUGAGAAAGCUAAAAAGUGUAUUAUGAUACCUCUACGUAAGUUCGAUGAUUACUUUUGAUAUCUUAGAGACGUCGAUCAGUAGGUAUAUUCAUUGAAAAUGGAUUUCCUCAAGAGUGGAUGUAAGGAAAAAUCAUAUUUCCAAGAAAUGAACCUCCUUAAGUCUUUAGGACAGAGACUUUUAAAUGACACUGUAAUAUAUAUCCUCGGUUUAAUUGAACAAAAUCUAGAAUAUCAAUAUGAGAGAAACAACAGCAAAAGUGUUUUAAAUCAACUCUUGUGUAUAUUAAGAUUCUACACUUCAGGGGCUAUGUCCAGUCUACAGCUUUUUUUAUGGGCAUGUAUGUUUGUUUCUACCACUUCUCGUAUUAUGUUACAAAAGUAUCCCAUGAACUUCCACUGCUUUACCCUCAGUUCAUAAAAAUGCCUGAAUAAGAAACUCUAGUUUUAGAGCAGGAACAAUUUUAUAGUAUAUUUGGGUUUCCUUGGAUUAUAGGGAUAGUUGAUGGAACACAAUGUAAGAAAACAUUCACCUGGGGGUAAUGAUGGAGAGGUAUUUAGAAA